ACAGGUGGUGCAUGGUUGUCGUCAGCUCGUGUCGUGAGAUGUUGGGUUAAGUCCCGCAACGAGCGCAACCCUUGUUGUUAGUUGCCAGCAUUAAGUUGGGCACUCUAACGAGACUGCCGGUGACAAAUCGGAGGAAGGUGGGGACGACGUCAAAUCAUCAUGCCCCUUAUGUCCUGGGCUACACACGUACUACAAUGGCGACUACAGAGGGCAGCAAAGCCGUGAGGCAGAGCCAAUCCCCAAAAGUCGUCCCAGUUCGGAUUGCAGGCUGCAACCCGCCUGCAUGAAGUCGGAAUUGCUAGUAAUGGCAGGUCAGCAUACUGCCGUGAAUACGUUCCCGGGUCUUG
rnacentral:rRNA from 1 species